GACGAACGCUGGCGGCUUGCCUAAUACAUGCAAGUCGAACGCAGUGGGGACGGGUGAGUAACACGUGGGUAACCUCCCAUCAGAGGGGAUAACACUUGGAAACAGGUGCUAAAACGAUACUGCUGGCUGGACCCGCGGUGCAUUAGCUAGUUGGUGAGGGAACGGCUCACCAAGGCCACGAUGCAUAGCCGACCGGAGGGGGUGCGAGGCCACACGAGGAAUGAGAGACGUCCCAGACUCCUACGGGAGGCAGCAGUAGGGAAUCUUCGGCAAUGGACGAAAGUCUGACAGAGCAACGCCGCGUGAGUGAAGAAGGUUUUCGGAUCGUAAAACUCUGGUGCUAGUGAAGCGGUAUCUGACCAGAAAGCCAAGGCUAACUACGUGCCAGCAGCCGCGGUAAUAC
rnacentral:rRNA from 1 species